AGCGAACGCUGGCGGCAGGCCUAACACAUGCAAGUCGAACGAACCUUUCGGGGUUAGUGGCGGACGGGUGAGUAACACGUGGGAACGUGCCUUUAGGUUCGGAAUAACUCAGGGAAACUUGUGCUAAUACCGAAUGUGCCCUUCGGGGGAAAGAUUUAUCGCCUUUAGAGCGGCCCGCGUCUGAUUAGCUAGUUGGUUGAGGUAAUGGCUCACCAAGGCGACGAUCAGUAGCUGGUCUGAGAGGAUGAUCAGCCACAUUGGGACUGAGACACGGCCCAAACUCCUACGGGAGGCAGCAGUGGGGAAUCUUGCGCAAUGGGCGAAAGCAUGACGCAGCCAUGCCGCGUGAAUGAUGAAGGUCUUAGGAUUGUAAAAUUCUUUCAACGGGGACGAUAAUGACGGUACCCGGAGAAGAAGCCCCGGCUAACUUCGUG
rnacentral:rRNA from 1 species